UUCCAAGAAGCAUUAUAUCUACAUCUCAUUUUCAUCCCCUACUUUUUAUCAUUGCUUUCAGGAUUGGGCUAUAAGAUCUUCUAUGGAGGAGACAAUGGUUGCUGUGCAGACAGAGAAAUUUCCUGCAUAACAUUCACCCUUCACUUCCAGGACUUUACUUGUGACUUCUCCUCAUUUCAUCCCACCUAAACCAGCAAGGACAGGUGCAGAAGGGUGAUAUGCUAGAGGAAAUGCAAGGCCUUCCCAUACUACAGUCCUGCAGAGACAAUUCUCUCCACCCUGUAGCUACACAUUUGCCGUUUAUUCACUGGAAACCUGGUCUCCAUCCAGCUAAUCAAAUCUUGAAAAGCCACUCACUUUUCAUGCUAUCAGCAUGAAAACCUACACCAGCAAUCUUGCAUCUUGUCUUGCUGCAAGUGAUGAGACAGGGCUCCUGCAGAGGUUUACAGAACGUAGCCAUGACGGCUGCAUAGAACGGCCUGUGGGCUCCAAGCAGCGGUCAGACAGUUCUCCCAGUUACAUCCUUCAUGGCUUAGUGAAUAAAUAGAGUUAAUCUGCUGCUGAACAUUUGCUACCUCUCCUCAGGUGAACCGGUGAAGAACACACUACCCAAUUAACCUCUCUUUGAGGUAAACAUGUGGAGUGACUAAAUUGCCAGUGCUCAGCAGCUAACUCCCUUAAUCUUAAUUCUGGUGAAGCUAUGAGCAGCAGGAGCAACAUUUGUAUUAUAGACCUGACCUGUGCUCAUGUCAGGGAUGGAACGCCCUCUGAAAUGAGUCAAUUGGAUCUGUAUCCAGAAGGACUUCAGGGUAACACACAGCUCUUGAUUUCAGGCAAAUGACGAGUAAUAAAAGAAAAAGACCACACCUGUCAAACAGGCCGAACAGCUUCUAAACUGAAUAUUUUUCCAGUUCUCUUUGCGACGUCAGCAGCUCAUUAACUAUUGUCAUGAACACAAAAGCAGCACAAACCUGCGACUGCCUGCCCUACCUGAAAGCUUAAUCAAUUUUAAAUUAGUAGAAUGAAUGCUCUGACCUGCAAUUUAUCAUCUUUUGUGCUGUUAGCUGGACUAAUCUGUUUUGCCAAAUCACAAGGUUUUAAAUAGUUCUUGUUAUGGGAACCUUAUCAACAACUAUCGCAUCUCCCAUUUUUUCUGCCGCCUCCUCCCACUGAAAGUUUGACAACUUAGAGGGAUUUGUAAAAGGGAGCCUCCAAACUAAAAGAUGUUGGUAAAGACAGAAGAAAAGAUUUGCACCUCUCAGGAAAGCUUCAAGGCUAUUACAGCUUGGCAUCCCCCCAGUUGCAUGAAAGAGCAGCAGGGGGCAUCAGACACUCAAGGCAGGGCAUUAGAAAGCUGAAUGAGCAGUGAUGGUUCCCUGCCUUUGAAAAGACAAAGACUCAGCCUGAAAGAUGCUCGCAGAGGUGGGGCUGGGUGAACCAUAAUGAGCCCAGUGUACUGUAAAGGGAACAUUCUGUAUUAAUACUAUUGGCAAAGGAAGACAACUCCUUUAGGCCUCCCCUGAGUGAACACAUAUUUCUCUGCUCCCUCAGAGUUUUUACCUCCUCAAAUGCUCUCAUUUUUGUUGUCUAUGAAGAAACCAUUCCUAUCGAUGCGGAUCAUAAUGUAACAGUGCACCUGCAGGGGAUUCUAUUGACAAUGAAGACUUUGGUGCCAUUUGAGGCCAAGAAUGUUACGGGGAUGGAGAAGAGGCGGGAAGGAGGAGAGGGGGAAGAGGAAGGGUAGCCCCUAACAAUUGGAGUUUUAUUUCAUACUCAUUCAUUCAUCUAUAGGGUCACUCGACCAUCUUCAAGUACCACCGGGUUGUAACCACGAACUUUCCAGAUCACCAUCUCUGCUCUUUUCAGGUAUAGAGAGAAAUGCCUGUUGAGACCUUAGGCACACCCUUUCUUCAUAUGGCAUAAGUGCAUUGCUUUAGCUUUCAGUUUUACUCCUUAAAUAGGCGUUUGCCUAUUGCCCAGGGAAACCUGGUAACUGCAUGUGUAACUGAGCUACAUGCACCUACAAAUGCUACUAUAGUUGGCAGGUUUAGUUGUUCUAAUAAAAAACAUCUACCCAGAACCUUGUCUGACUAUAGUUGGCAUGCACAAAUGUAUGCAGACACAAAGUCAUACCACACAAAAUCUAUGCUAGCAAGUUUGGAAGCAAUUUUGAAAAUGAUAGGUCUAUAAUUGGUAACAUACUUUGGCAUAAUUUGGAAUAAAAGCACUAUGCAGGUGAAAGAAAUGAGUGAGAUUCCAAAAUGAUUGAAGUCCUCAUGUUCAUUAGCAUCAGGUCAUGGUAAGAAUAACUUUUGUAGUUGCAGAGGUAUAACACAGUACAUUAGUGCAUGUGAUCCCUUAUCUUGACAGGUUGGUGGUGGAGCGACAACAGCAGCAAACUGAGAUACAGUCUGAGGCCAGUUACCAGCGCUUCCAGUGACCACCUGUGACACCUGGAUCAAAACACUGAACUCCUCAGCACCUCAGUCCCCUAUUUGUGAAGGGCUGGUAUUAUAUCUCUAUCUUACCAAAGUGUUCUGAGGAAAAAAUGCAUUAAGGUUUGUGAAGGGCUCAGCUACUGAGAUGAGAAGCCCUUUUACACAGCCAGGCAGAUAGGUGAGUUACUUGGGAAAUGAAGAUGCACAGUGCAGCUGUAUAUAAGGACACGUCAACUGCUGUUUAAUGGGAAAGCAAGGCUGUGAUACUCACAGGAGAAACACAAUCCACCAAAUGACUACUAUUAAUUCAAUAGCUGACUCCAAGGAAAUUUUCAUAAUGACCCAAUUAGUACAAAAGGGGUAUUAUUUAAUUUUCUCAUUUCAAGUAUUACUCAUACUAAUGUGUGUCAUUACUAGCAUCAUUAUCAGCUGCAUUUUUUUGCCACCAAAUUACUACAAAUAAAUUGGCUCUGAGAGUUGCCUCAUUCAUUAGAUAUACUUACAAUUUAUUUUUGACGGGAUAUACUCUCACCUUCGUUCUGUAGAUUUUAUGAUGUGUGUUAUUCAAAUAAUCUAAACAUGCAGUUAGGUUAGAACAUUAGGUUAUAAUAUUAUACAAAAAUAGUUUUUCUGUCAUGUUUAUAAAAUGUACAGAGACUGGGUAAUAUUCAUCCAGGUGUAAUUCCAGCAAAGUCAAUGGAGCUACAA